CAGUCGCCGCGGUAAUACGUAGGGUGCGAGCGUUAAUCGGAAUUACUGGGCGUAAAGCGUGCGCAGGCGGCUUUGCAAGACAGAUGUGAAAUCCCCGGGCUCAACCUGGGAACUGCAUUUGUGACUGCAAGGCUAGAGUGCGGCAGAGGGAGAUGGAAUUCCGCGUGUAGCAGUGAAAUGCGUAGAUAUGCGGAGGAACACCGAUGGCGAAGGCAAUCUCCUGGGCCUGCACUGACGCUCAUGCACGAAAGCGUGGGGAGCAAACAGGAUUAGAUACCCCGGUAGUCCCUGUCUCUUAUAC
rnacentral:rRNA from 1 species